rfam:Rattus norvegicus chromosome 6, whole genome shotgun sequence.
GGGGAUUUAGCUCAGUGGUAGAGCGCUUGCCUAAUGAGCGCAAGGCCCUGGGUUCGGUCCCCAGCUCCG